CCGCGGUGCAGCAGGCUCCCUCCCGCAGGUACCGGGACGCCUCCCCUCGCCCCUGGCCGCCUACUGCAGCCAUCGUCCUCCCUAUGUUCCUGGAAAAAUGAAAAGUCAUGAUGAAUUUUAAAGGGAAGUUGACCCAGUUACUGAAGUGUGCUGCGAAGGCCUGGUGGUGGGAAGGGGGACGGAAGCCAGACGCCGCCCAUCCCGCCCGAGGUGUGUCCCGGUGAGGCCUGAGCCUGUGCUCUUUAAACUCAGAGCCCGCCUCCAGUUGGAUUCCUGAGGGGACGGGCCCGCCUGUGGUCUGUAAUUGUGCCAGAGACAGUGCGUGGGUUCCACGGCACCAGGGGAGCCAGCCAAGGGGCCGAGGGGAGCGACCCCCCCCCCCGCGUCUCCCCGGCGCCUGCGCGGGCACUCGGAUCCUUUACACCCUGGAGCCCCCACAGCCAGGGCUGGAGGAGGCUUCGCUGCAUCAGUUUGCCACGUGUCUCUCCAUGACCAGUUCUGUCCGGGACACCCACCUGGGAGCAGCCCCACCCAGGUCCCCACUGAGCCGGUCCAGCGACCUUUGUCUGACUCAGGGCCCGGCACCCAGACCACCGAAGGGGGGUUGAGGCUCUGUGCGCCCGGAGCCCCUGAGAGCCCACCAGCUGGGUGCCCUUGCUGGGCAAGGCAGAGGCAGACGUCCAAGACCAAGAAAUCCCCCCUUCCUGAGCGGGCUCCUGCCUGGGGCUGGGGCACUGCCAGCUUCCUCCUUCAGCCACUGUGUCUCCAAGGCCUGGGGGCUGCCCCGAGCCGGCCGCAGCCAGGGUGGGAGGACUCCCCCUCAGGACCCCGCACAGAAGGGUUCGAACUCAGUCCUGGCAUCCACACCAUUCCCGGUGGCGGCUGUUGGAGUCGGAGACAGCAGCUCUGCCAGCUGGACGGGGGCUGGCGGGCAGUUCAGGGCAGUCCGUGCCUCUUGGAGGUGCAGGGGUCAAAGUGGGGAAGGUGGGGACUGUGGAGAACCCGGACAGAGACCCUGCCAGCAAGCCUAGUGUUGGGGGACUGCCCUGGGGCUCCCAGGUCAGCGUCACCUCAGCAAGGGUGGCAGGGUCCAGGUUGGGCAGAUCCAUCACUGGUUCCUGGGUGGGGUCAACCUGGGCCCCCAGGGCCCCUCCUGGCACAGGAAGCUUGAAGGCCUCUGCUGGUCCCCAAACCAGCCUUGCCUGCUCUGUGUCUGGGGGUGCUGCUCUCGGCCCACCCCGGGAGUGGACCCCAGGCCGCAGGUCUUGUGCCUGUGGACACUCGGGGUGGGGGGUGUCAGUCCUAUGUCGGUUCCUCUGGGGGAGGGACUCUGCAGUCUGUCCAUGGAUCUCAAAGGAUCUAAAACAGUCGUUGUCAGGAGGGUAGCGGCCUCCUUGUGGCCUCCUAAAAAUACAACUCUGGGUGCUUCUAAGCUGGGUCCUGGGACUGUGGUAUCCACUGUUCUUGUCACAUGUGGGAUUUCAUGUGUGCUUUUGUGGGUAUGAAACAUUUCAUGGAGUCCUCCUGUGGCCCAGAGGGUCAAGGAUCUGGUGCCACUGCAACGGCUUGGGCACAGUCCAAAAAAAAAGUCAUAACAAGAAAAGAUUAUUUAGGCACUACUUCGUCCACACAGGCGGUAAGAUGCUUGGGGUUGAAGACUAAUCCCUGAUGCCAGGUGUCAGCGACAUGGCCAGGGGCUGGCAGAGGCAGGCUCUCUGCUGCCCCCACCUCCCAGUCCCAAGUCCGUGCACGCCUUCAGGAAGGAUUUCUGGAAAAGUGACUGCAGUUUCCCUGGUGUGACAGCACAAAAUGCCAGCCAGGUGGCCUAAAGCUCUGCUACUCUCAUUUUGACUUUUAAAAAAAGUGUUUCAAGAGUUCCUGUCAUGGCUCAGUGGAAACGAAUCU
rnacentral:lncRNA from 1 species